UGAAAUGAAGAUCUGGAUCCGAGGUUCCUCUCAGCGCAAAUGGGAUUAUUCCCAACCUUGAUAGUUAAAAUGAACAAGCUGAAGUUUCUUGCAGCUGACAUGAUCGCUCGAUCCAAACUCCUCUCGUCAAUUUCUCCAAACUGAAAUCUGGUGUUUCCUUUUUGGGUAUUCUAUUUUUAGACAGAAGGAAAUAAAAACGUAUUCACCUAAAAAGACC
rnacentral:lncRNA from 1 species